CCAGGUGUCCACAUGAAUCAGUUGAAAAGGCCUAGAAGUUCUAAUGGAGCUAUCAGGGAAAUGAAGCUUAGUCUGUCUGGCUAUGGGACAGACUGUACAGGGAAAGGGGUGUUUGGAAGCAAAAGGAAAAGAUAGACUAGAAAUGCAUUUCAUAUUUGAAAAUGGAGUAUGUGCAAGUCUUAAGUGCCAAAUGUAAUUCAUAUCAGAUGCAAAAUCAUUAUUACAGAUGGAACUAUUUACAUGUGAAGGCAAAGGAACAUCCUUGUUAUCAGACAAGAUGUCAUCAUUACAAGAAAAAGACACAGAAGGCAAUGCAACAGCUUUGUUAUCAUUACAAGAACCAGAUACAGGUCAAACAGAAGUAGAAGAACAAUUAACAGAGGGAGAAGGGGAAGAAGGAACACAAGCUAGUUUAUACAGGCCAGCAGCUUCUCUACCA
rnacentral:lncRNA from 1 species